rnacentral:rRNA from 1 species
GAUGAACGCUAGCGGCAGGCCUAACACAUGCAAGUCGAGGGGUAGAGGAAGCUUGCUUCCUUGAGACCGGCGCACGGGUGCGUAACGCGUAUGCAAUCUACCUUUUACAGAGGGAUAGCCCAGAGAAAUUUGGAUUAAUACCUCAUAGUAUUUUCGAAUGGCAUCAUUUGAUUAUUAAAGUUCCAACGGUAAAAGAUGAGCAUGCGUCCUAUUAGCUAGAUGGUAAGGUAACGGCUUACCAUGGCAACGAUAGGUAGGGGUCCUGAGAGGGAGAUCCCCCACACUGGUACUGAGACACGGACCAGACUCCUACGGGAGGCAGCAGUGAGGAAUAGUGGACAAUGGGCGCAAGCCUGAUCCAGCCAUGCCGCGUGCAGGAAGACGCAUCUAUGGUGUGUAAACUGCUUUUGUACGGGAAGAAACACUCCCUCGUGAGGGAGCUUGACGGUACCGUAAGAAUAAGGAUCGGCUAACUCCGUGCCAGCAGCCGCAGUAACAC